rnacentral:rRNA from 1 species
AGUGAACGCUGGCGGUAGGCCUAACACAUGCAAGUCGAACGGCAGCACAGGAGAGCUUGCUCUCUGGGUGGCGAGUGGCGGACGGGUGAGGAAUACAUCGGAAUCUACUCUGUCGUGGGGGAUAACGUAGGGAAACUUACGCUAAUACCGCAUACGACCUACGGGUGAAAGCAGGGGAUCUUCGGACCUUGCGCGAUUGAAUGAGCCGAUGUCGGAUUAGCUAGUUGGCGGGGGAAAGGCCCACCAAGGCGACGAUCCGUAGCUGGUCUGAGAGGAUGAUCAGCCACACUGGAACUGAGACACGGUCCAGACUCCUACGGGAGGCAGCAGUGGGGAAUAUUGGACAAUGGGCGCAAGCCUGAUCCAGCCAUACCGCGUGGGUGAAGAAGGCCUUCGGGUUGUAAAGCCCUUUUGUUGGGAAGGAAAUCCAGCUGGCUAAUACCCGGUUGGGAUGACGGUACCCAGAGAAUAAGCACCGGCUAACUUCGUGCCAGCCGCCGCGGUAA